rnacentral:rRNA from 1 species
GGGCAGUGCGGGUCUACCAUGCAGUCGAGCGGUAAGGCCCUUCGGGGUACACGAGCGGCGAACGGGUGAGUAACACGUGAGCAACCUGCCCCUGACUCCGGGAUAAGCGGUGGAAACGCCGUCUAAUACCGGAUACGACCGGCCGCCUCAUGGUGGCCGGUGGAAAGUUCUUCGGUUGGGGAUGGGCUCGCGGCCUAUCAGCUUGUUGGUGGGGUAAAGGCCUACCAAGGCGAUUACGGGUAGCCGGCCUGAGAGGGCGACCGGCCACACUGGGACUGAGACACGGCCCAGACUCCUGCGGGAGGCAGCAGUGGGGAAUAUUGCGCAAUGGGCGAAAGCCUGACGCAGCGACGCCGCGUGGGGGAUGACGGCCUUCGGGUUGUAAACCUCUUUUACCACCAACGCAGGCUCCCAGUUCUCUGGGGGUUGACGGUAGGUGGGGAAUAAGGACCGGCUAACUACGUGCCAGCAGCCGCGGUAAUACGUAGGGUCCGAGCGUUGUCCGGAAUUAUUGGGCGUAAAGAGCUCGUAGGCGGCGUGUCGCGUCUGCUGUGAAAGACCGGGGCUUAACUCCGGUUCUGCAGUGGAUACGGGCAUGCUAGAGGUAGGUAGGGGAGACUGGAAUUCCUGGUGUAGCGGUGAAAUGCGCAGAUAUCAGGAGGAACACCGGUGGCGAAGGCGGGUCUCUGGGCCUUACCUGACGCUGAGGAGCGAAAGCAUGGGGAGCGAACAGGAUUAGAUACCCUGGUAGUCCAUGCCGUAAACGUUGGGCGCUAGGUGUGGGGACUUUCCACGGUUUCCGCGCCGUAGCUAACGCAUUAAGCGCCCCGCCUGGGGAGUACGGCCGCAAGGCUAAAACUCAAAGGAAUUGACGGGGGCCCGCACAAGCGGCGGAGCAUGUUGCUUAAUUCGACGCAACGCGAAGAACCUUACCAAGGUUUGACAUCACCCGUGGACCUGCAGAGAUGUGGGGUCAUUUAGUUGGUGGGUGACAGGUGGU